ensembl:lncRNA LY6E-DT LY6E divergent transcript
CAUAGUGAGUCUGGGGACCCAAGAUCUUAUUUUCCUUUCUGUCACCCCCGCUUGGUUUUGGAUUCCGUGACAGCUGGACCCGGCUUCUGCGUGGACAUAAUUGGAGACACUGGUUAUUUUACCAAAGCUUUGACCGGAAGGAUGUACUUUUGGAUACAAACAGACUGCUUUAAGGAGUCAAAGCUGACUUAUGAAGUUGGCCUCAUCCCUUGUCUACACAGUCACUGUACAGAGUUCCUUGCCUGUAGUAUGUAAAGAAUGUCACUUUCUGACAGGCUCAGGAGCCCCAAAUUAUCCUGGGACCUUGAGGAGAGGACAUUGCCCAAUUUAUAUAGGUAUUUUCAGGCACCAAUAAAUCAUGGCUGGGCUCAAGGCUUUAAAAAAAGUCAAAUCUGGGAUUCGUUAUAGAAUAAAGUUCCAGCAAAGCCAAUUUUAAGACAGGCCUAUAUGGCAAAUAAUUAUUCGUGCUGACAUUAUGCAAACACUCAGGCCAAGUAUAAGAUGAAAAAUUAUUUUAAAUAAAUUUGUCCUACUAUGAUUUGUCUUCAGUAAAAACAGGUACUGGGCUGGGCAUGGUGGCUCACAGCUGUAAUCCCAGCACACUGGGAGGCCAAGGCAGGCAGAUCGCUUGAGGUCAGGAGUUUGAGACCAGCCUGGCCAACAUGGUGGUGAAACACCAUCUCUACCAAAAAAUAUAAAAAUUAGCCAGGUGUGGUGGCAUGUGUCUGUAAUCCUAGCUACCCAGGAGGCUGAGGCAUGAGAAUUGCUUGAACCCAGGAGGUGGAGCUUGCCUGAGUCCUGGUAAGGCACAGACAGAAAGGGUUGUCAGCCAUUUUUUUCUGAGGUUAUAAGAUCUGCAACUUCCCCAGUUAUUC